rnacentral:tRNA from 1 species
GGCGCUAUAGCCAAGUGGUUACGGCGACAGAUUCGAAUGAUUGUUAUCUGUUCCUCUUUGAGGGCGCAGGUUCAAAUCCUGCUGGCGUCG